CCAAAAUUGUCAGAAUUUCAAAAUUUUUCAUUCCAUUCUCUAUCAGCUAUGUCUAUAGUUUGCGGAUUUUGCAAUUUUCUCAGCUCUUUUGUUCAGUUAUUUAUUGCACUAAUAUGGAAUGGAAUUUUUGCAUUUGCAUUGCAACUAUUUAAAUUUUCCAUUGUCCUGCUAUUGACAUUCGUACUUGGUUGUGUCGUAUUUUUAAUGUUCGAUGGCGCAUCAAUUUCAUUUGAUCAAUGGGGAAAUGCCAUUUCAUCGAUCAGACGUUUGAGUGAUAAUCUCAUUGAAAGGCAGCGUCGAAGUGAUAGUGUGGCUCCAGCUACCCCGAUCGCAGUCUCAUCACAAAUUUCCUCUGAAUCGAAUAAAGCCAGCGAAGAGUUAUAGCUGUAAAGUUACGUGUGUUGGGUGUAAAAUAUGGUAAUAACUCUUGUCCUGAGUGACCCCUUAACACAGAUUCACAAUUAAAGAAGUAAUUGCCCUAAAAAUUGUCCUUUUGAAUCAAGGUUUAUAGUUUGGUCGAUUCCGUAAAUAUCUAUUCUACGAUUUAAGAGUCUAUGACAAAAUGUAUUUCAAAAAUCACGUUUACAACUUAAAUGCUUUUUGAAAUAUAUUUUUAAAAAUCCAAGUCUAUAACAUUGAUGGUCCAUGAAUAUAAGGAAACGAAAUAGA